rnacentral:lncRNA from 1 species
AGUGACCAAUGAGUGACCAAUGAGUGACCAGAGGUGGCCAAAAUGACCAAAGGUCACUUCAGAGUGACCAGUGGUGGCCUUGCAGUGACCAUGAGUGACCAGUACUGGUCAAGAGUGACCACCAGUGACCAAUGGUCAGUUUUGGGUGGCCAAGAGUGACCAGUGGUCACUUUGGGGUGGUCAGGAGUGACCAAUGGUCACUCUGGGGUGGUCAAGGUGGCUGGAAGUGACCAGUGGUCACUUUGGGGUGACCUUAGAGUGAUCAGUGGUCACUUUGGGGUGACCAUGAGUGGUCAAUGGUCAUUUUGGGGUGGUCAGAGAUGGCCUGGGAUGGUCAGUGGUCACUUUAGAGUGACCAGGAGUGACCAAUGGUCACUUUGGGGUGGUCAGAGAUGGCCUGGAAUGGUCAGGGGUCACUUUGGAGUGACCAGGAGUGACCAAUGGUGGCCUUAAAGUGACCACU